rnacentral:lncRNA from 1 species
AUUGUAAUAUGUAAUGUCCAUUAGCAUGCAAGUACCAUCCAUAGCCGUGGGCGUGUGGAAAUUAAACUAGACAGACUAUAGGGUUCGAUAACUGACCAUGCGUUACCAUAGUUCGAUCGAGUCCCAUGACCAUUGACAAUUAACAAUUUCCAUAUUUGUUCCAACAUUUUUUUUUAUAAUAUAUGGAUAUGGAGAAAAGGUAAAAGGAGGAUUU